GACGAACGCUGGCGGCGUGCUUAACACAUGCAAGUCGAGCGGUAAGGCCUUUUCGGGGGUACACGAGCGGCGAACGGGUGAGUAACACGUGGGUGACCUGCCCUCAGCUCUGGGAUAAGCCUGGGAAACCGGGUCUAAUACCGGAUAUGACUCCAUGACGCAUGUUGUGGGGUGGAAAGCCUUGUGCGGCUGAGGAUGGGCCCGCGGCCUAUCAGCUUGUUGGUGGGGUGAUGGCCUACCAAGGCGACGACGGGUAGCCGGCCUGAGAGGGCGACCGGCCACACUGGGACUGAGACACGGCCCAGACUCCUACGGGAGGCAGCAGUGGGGAAUCUUGCGCAAUGGGCGAAAGCCUGACGCAGCGACGCCGCGUGAGGGAUGACGGCCU
rnacentral:rRNA from 1 species